GGGUUGUGAGGUUAAGCGACUAAGCGUACACGGUGGAUGCCCUGGCAGUCAGAGGCGAUGAAGGGCGUGCUAAUCU
rnacentral:rRNA from 5 species